rnacentral:rRNA from 1 species
AUUGAACGCUGGCGGCAGGCCUAACACAUGCAAGUCGAGCGGAUGAAGGGAGCUUGCUCCUGGAUUCAGCGGCGGACGGGUGUGUAAUGCCUAGGAAUCUGCCUGGUAGUGGGGGAUAACGUCCGGAAACGGGCGCUAAUCCCGCAUACGUCCUGAGGGAGAAAGUGGGGGAUCUUCGGACCUCACGCUAUCAGAUGAGCCUAGGUCGGAUUAGCUAGUUGGUGGGGUAAAGGCCUACCAAGGCGACGAUCCGUAACUGGUCUGAGAGGAUGAUCAGUCACACUGGAACUGAGACACGGUCCAGACUCCUACGGGAGGCAGCAGUGGGGAAUAUUGGACAAUGGGCGAAAGCCUGAUCCAGCCAUGCCGCGUGUGUGAAGAAGGUCUUCGGAUUGUAAAGCACUUUAAGUUGGGAGGAAGGGCAGUAAGUUAAUACCUUGCUGUUUUGACGCUACCAACAGAAUAAGCACCGGCUAACUUCGUG